GAUGAUUUCGGUCUCGUGAAUCUUCUCCUUCAAAACAAAAUUUAAAAACUCAGCAACUCGUGUGAAUGAAGAUUCUGGUUCCCGAAGAUUUUCAGCCCUCCACUAUGUGUUCCUUAUUUGAAUCCCGACUGCAGGUUUGGAGAAGGUAUCACCAUCUCGCAAAAACUCUGACCGUGUAAAGGGGUUGAUUGAAGGUUACAAUCAUAACUGUUGAAGAUAUUCAGGAUAGAGAUUUGAUAAUGUAAAAAAAAAAAGAACUAAAUACUUAUUUCUUUUAUCUUUCAAGUUAGUUCUCUAUUCAACCAUCAAAUUGUAUUACCUCAUUCUGAAAGACUGGAUCUCUGGAACAUCAUCAGGCUCAAAUAAAAUUCUCGAAAAUCCAUCAAUU